CGCUCCUGGAAGAGGAGCUUGGCUCUGGGAGGUUUGAGGCGUUCUCCCUCCCCCGGCAGCACGGGGCUGGGCCGGCAGGGCCGCGUAGUCGCGUUUCUCUGGCAGCCGCUGUAGGGAGGCUGCGGGCGGGCGGCACGAUGUGGCGGGCAGCGAGGCGAUUUUGUGCAUUACAAAAGGGACGGGCAAUUCUUGGCAGGUCACCUGGCCAAGGGACAUUUAAUAAUAGAACCAAGGCAACUCUCGAUAUGGAAGGAGCAGGCCCGCCUAUUCAUAUGACUGAUGGUAUGUGAAUCUGUGUGAAUGCUUUUUUCUUCACUUUCAGUUUUUAGCAUUAAUACUUCCUUGCUUUUUAUGAUGGAGGUGGGGGAGAAUACUGAAAUAAAAUAAUUUUUAAAAAAA